AUGGUUUGAGAGAGACAAAUGAAAUAACGUUGUGCGAGUAAAUACUAUAAUACAAUGCCGACCAAAUUAUUCUCAUUAGAAUGCAAAAUAUAAGAAGUAUAUUGUGUGGUAAAAUCAUAGAUCUAUUUCACCCUUUCUCUUCUCCUUUCUAAAACAAUUUCAUUGUUUACACUUUUCAUCUUGAUCCUGACAUCCAGUAUUUUAUAGGCGUCCUGCACUUUGCCCACAUUGGAAAUGAUUUCCAUCGAGUUUAUUGUCUUUUAUUAACUAUGUCUCGUUUUCAUCCAUAAUUGAUGGGUCUUCAGACGACUCUCCGGUGCUUUCUCACAGUGGUUGUCAGAUAAAUGCUCAUGUCCGAAUCACUGAAGAGUACGAUGAAAAGGUAAAAAGUCUCGUUUACAUCCAUAGUGCCUCUCAAACCUUCUCUGUUUAUGUAUAGGAACUUAUAAUAAAAAUGUGCUUGAAUGUAAUUUAUCUUAAGUUGCCAUUUAUUUGGUCAUGCGACGUGAGAUCAUGCUUUAUAUAUAUUUCAUUAAGAAAAUUCAUGAUUGAAUUA